AGCAGCCGCGGUAAUUCCAGCUCCAAUAGCGUAUAUUAAAGUUGUUGCAGUUUAAAAGCUCGUAGUUGAACUUCGGGGUUCACCCAUUGGUCAGGCUUAAUUGUCUGUACUGGUGAGAUGAGUCUCUACCUUCUGAGGAACUUUCAUGCCAUUUAUUUGGUGUGGUUGGAAAUCAGGACUGUUACUUUGAAAAAAUUAGAGUGUUUAAAGCAGGCUAACGUCUGAAUACAUUAGCAUGGAAUAAUGAAAUAGGACGGAUUGAUUCUAUUUCGUUGGUUUCUAGGGUCACCGUAAUGAUUAAUAGGGAUAGUUGGGGGCAUUAGUAUUCAAAUUGUCAGAGGUGAAAUUCUUGGAUUUAUUGAAGACUAACUACUGCGAAAGCAUUUGCCAAGGAUGUUUUCAUUAAUCAAGAACGAAAGUUAGGGGAUCGAAGACGAUCAGAUACCGUCGUAGUCUUAACCAUAAACUAUGCCGACUAGGGAUCGGACGCAGUAAAUUUUAUAAUGACGUG
rnacentral:rRNA from 1 species